rnacentral:rRNA from 1 species
GUCGAACGAAGGCCCCUCUUCGGNGGGUGUCCUUAGUGGCGGACGGGUGAGUAACACGUGGGAACCUACCUAGCAGUACGGAAUAACUGUGGGAAACUGCAGCUAAUACCGUAUACGCCCCGAGGGGGAAAGAUUUAUCGCUGUUAGAUGGGCCCGCGUCCGAUUAGCUAGUUGGUGGGGUAACGGCCUACCAAGGCGACGAUCGGUAGCUGGUCUGAGAGGAUGAUCAGCCACACUGGGACUGAGACACGGCCCAGACUCCUACGGGAGGCAGCAGUGGGGAAUAUUGGACAAUGGGGGCAACCCUGAUCCAGCCAUGCCGCGUGAGUGAAGAAGGCCUUAGGGUUGUAAAACUCUUUCACCGGGGACGAUGAUGACGGUACCCCGGAGAAGAAGCCCCGGCUAACUCCGUGCCAGCAGCCGCGGU